NNNGGGGGGGCAGGAUAGGAGGCAGCGGCGCCAAGAGGAAGGGGCCUGGGUGAGCCGAGGCGGGGGCUCCCCCAGCAGCAUCCCAGAAGGGACCCAGGCGUCCGGGGGCCCCAAGUGGGGGUCCAGAGGGGGGGAGGAGGAGGAAAGGCUGCCGCUGGGGCAGGAGGCGGUGCAGGGCAUGAGGAAGCUGGAGCUCAGAGACGUNGGGACCCAGGUGUCUUGGGGCCCCGGCAAGGGGGCCCUCGAGCAGGGGGCGACCCAAGUAUCCGAGAACCUAGGAGCCGGGCUGCAGAGGAAGGCCCCUGCACAGGCCAGGAAGGGCAAGGGGCAGCUCUGCCAGUGUGGUGUCCCGCCCAGCUUUGAAGGGCUGGAGGAGCGCCCAGGGAGUGGGCAUGGGUGCCCAGAGGGCAGGCAGCCGGAGGGGCGGGAGAAAAGGGCCUCCUGGUGCGGGGGGGUCUGCGAGUCCUGCGUGGCAGUGGUGCUGAAAGGGAGAGUCCCUAAGGAGGGGGCCUGCAAGGAGCGCCCUGGGAGCUGGGUGUUUGGUGGGGGGGUCCGUAAAGGAAGGGGUGGGGAGCCUGGGCUCCCACCUCUGGGCAUCAGCCGCAGCUACUCCGGGGGCAUCCCGUCCCUCAAGCNGGACCCCGUAGACGGGGCCACUGUUUGGGUCCAGAAGGACUGGUAUCGGGGCGCUGUGGAGACGCCAGGGCAGGUCUGGGUGCCCCGCAAACCGUCGCGUGCCUCUGAGAAGCUGGGCUUCUCUUGGUUGCCCGGGGGAGCCCCUGCGCAGAGGAAGCCAGGAGAAUGGAAACCAGAGGCGAAGGGUGUCGGUAGUUCCCCAGACCUUAGCCAGGUCUGGAUCCCCCGAGAGAAGCCNGCCCCUGCUGGAGGGGGGCCUGGAGAUGUCUGGGUGCACAAAGUGAGAGACCCCUCUGGCGCCGGGGUCAUGUGGGUCUGGGCGAAGGUGACCAACUGUAACGAGGAGGAAGAAGUGGAGGAGAGCAGAAUGUGGGCCUUCCGCAAGCAGGGUGCCAGGAAAGGCGGGCAAGGCGAGGGAGGGUAUGGGGUGCUUUAGGGGAACUACGGGGAAGGUGAUCAG
rnacentral:lncRNA from 1 species